rnacentral:rRNA from 1 species
AUUGAACGCUGGCGGCAUGCUUUACACAUGCAAGUCGAACGGUAACAGGCCUUCGGGUGCUGACGAGUGGCGAACGGGUGAGUAAUGCAUCGGAACGUACCCAGAGGUGGGGGAUAACGCAGCGAAAGCUGUGCUAAUACCGCAUGUGAUCUGAGGAUGAAAGCGGGGGACCGAGCAGCAAUGUUUGGCCUCGCGCCUUUGGAGCGGCCGAUGUCGGAUUAGCUAGUUGGUGGGGUAAAGGCCUACCAAGGCGACGAUCCGUAGCUGGUCUGAGAGGACGGCCAGCCACACUGGGACUGAGACACGGCCCAGACUCCUACGGGAGGCAGCAGUGGGGAAUUUUGGACGAUGGGCGCAAGCCUGAUCCAGCAAUGCCGCGUGCGGGAAGAAGGCCUUCGGGUUGUAAACCGCUUUUGGCAGGAACGAAACGGUGUCCGCUAAUACCGGGCGCUAAUGACGGUACCUGCAGAAUAAGCACCGGCUAACUACGUG